rnacentral:tRNA from 1 species
GUAGAGCAGAGGACUGAAAAUCCUCGUGUCACCAGUUCAAAUAAUAA